rnacentral:lncRNA from 1 species
UGUGCCAAAAAUAGGCCGUGGGCACAGCCACGCCUAAAAAUAACCACCCGAACGCCGGGGCGCCAAGUUCGUCAAGCGGAAAAAGGCCACAAAAACGGUUGGGCUAUAGCCUUGGGGGGUGGGGCUGGCCCACUUUGUCCGCCGGACUCGGAAUGGCGCGAGACUUUGCUAGGCGCCUCCGUGUGCCAAAAAGAGGCCGCGGGUACAGUCACGCCCAAAAAUAAACUCCCGAAGGCCGGGGCGCCAAGUUCGUCCAGCGGAAAAAGGCCACAAAAACGGGUGGGCUAUAGCCUUGGGGGGUGGGGCUGGCCAACUUCGUCCGCCGGACUCGGAAUGCCGCGAGACUUUGCGAGGGGCCACCAUAUGCCAAAAAUACACCGUGGGUAAAGCCGUGCCCAAAAAAUAACCGCCCGAAGGCUGGGGGGCCAAGUUCGUCCAGAGGAAAAAGGCCACAAAAACGGGUGGGCUAUAGCCUUGGGGGGUGGGGCUGGCCAACUUCGUCAGCCGGACUCGGAAUGCCGCGAGACUUUGCGAGGGGCCUCCGUGUGCCAAAAAUAGGCCGCGGGCAAAGCCGUGCCCAAAAAAUAACA